rnacentral:lncRNA from 1 species
GACAUGCGACAUACAAUAUACAAUUAAUCAUAUAUGUAAAAUUUUUCUUUUCCUUUUAAGAAAACCAUGAACUUUAAACAAAAAUAUUUUUAACUAUAACCUAUAAGUCCUAUAGUGUAAGUUUUGUGAAAGUUUGUUUGAUGAUUAUUGUUGUUCUGUUUUCCUAUUAUUCUUUUUCUAGUUAUGUUCAUCAAUUCUCGC